rnacentral:rRNA from 1 species
GCCCAGACUCCUACGGGAGGCAGCAGUGGGGAAUAUUGGGCAAUGGGCGCAAGCCUGACCCAGCAACGCCGCGUGAAGGAAGAAGGCUUUCGGGUUGUAAACUUCUUUUCUCAGGGACGAAGAAAGUGACGGUACCUGAGGAAUAAGCCACGGCUAACUACGUGCCAGCAGCCGCGGUAAUACGUAGGGGGCAAGCGUUAUCCGGAUUUACUGGGUGUAAAGGGAGCGUAGACGGCAGCGCAAGUCUGGAGUGAAAUGCCGGGGCCCAACCCCGGAACUGCUUUGGAAACUGUGCAGCUCGAGUGCAGGAGAGGUAAGCGGAAUUCCUAGUGUAGCGGUGAAAUCCGUAGAUAUCUGGAGGAACAUCAGUGGCGAAGGCGACUAUCUGGCACAUAACUGACGCUGAGGAGCGAAAGCGUGGGUAGCAAACAGGAUUAGAUACCCUAGUAC